UGGGGAAUUUUGCGCAAUGGGCGAAAGCCUGACGCAGUAACGCCGCGUGGAGGAUGAAGGCCUUCGGGUUGUAAACUCCUGUCAGGUGGAACGACGGUGGGCGGGUGAAGAGCCCGGCCCAUCAGACGGUACCAUCAAAGGAAGCCCCGGCUAAUUCCGUGCCAGCAGCCGCGGUAAUACGGAAGGGGCAAGCGUUGUUCGGAAUCAUUGGGCGUAAAGGGCGCGUAGGUGGUACGGUGUGUCUCUCGUGAAAGCCCACGGCUCACCCGUGGAGGGUCGGGAGAAACUGCCGAACUUGAGGCUGGGAGGGGCUGGUGGAAUUCCCUGUGUAGCGGUGAAAUGCGUAGAGAUGGGGGAGAACACUCGUGGCGAAGGCGGCCAGCUAGACCAGUUCUGACACUGAGGCGCGAUAGCGUGGGGAGCAAACAGG
rnacentral:rRNA from 1 species